GAGCAACUUGCUGAAGAAAUUGGGGUUCCAGAGUCAAGAGUCCAGAUUUGGUUCCAAAACCGAAGAGCCAGACUCCGUGUCCAGAGAAAAAGAGGCCUUGAAGAAGCUCUAUACCAAAGACAAAACCAGGGACAGGAUCUCUGAUAUGGGAGAGUUGAAGGUAUACAGAACGGCACUCCAUAGUGACUGUUUUAUUUCUCUGGAGCCAGGACAAAGUGAAAAGGGAGACAGAUUUGGUGUAUUUGAUGUCAUCAGCCUGGACUCCACAUUAAUUAUCUUCCUUAACAUAUCCCUCUAAAUAUACCUUCAGCUUCAGCUUCUGGAGAUGGUAAAGAGGACUUUAGGAGGCAGAGACAGAUGAUACAAAGAACCAUGCAGCC
rnacentral:lncRNA from 1 species